GACGAACGCUGGCGGCGUGCCUAAUACAUGCAAGUUGAGCGCUGAAGGUUGGUACUUGUACCGACUGGAUGAGCAGCGAACGGGUGAGUAACGCGUGGGGAAUCUGCCUUUGAGCGGGGGACAACAUUUGGAAACGAAUGCUAAUACCGCAUAAAAACUUUAAACACAAGUUUUAAGUUUGAAAGAUGCAAUUGCAUCACUCAAAGAUGAUCCCGCGUUGUAUUAGCUAGUUGGUGAGGUAAAGGCUCACCAAGGCGAUGAUACAUAGCCGACCUGAGAGGGUGAUCGGCCACAUUGGGACUGAGACACGGCCCAAACUCCUACGGGAGGCAGCAGUAGGGAAUCUUCGGCAAUGGACGAAAGUCUGACCGAGCAACGCCGCGUGAGUGAAGAAGGUUUUCGGAUCGUAAAACUCUGUUGGUAGAGGAGAACGUUGGUGAGAGUGGAAAGCUCAUCAAGUGACGGUAACUACCCAGAAAGGGACGGCUAACUACGU
rnacentral:rRNA from 1 species